UACGAGGGGUGCAAACGUUAUUCGGAAUCAUUGGGCGUAAAGGGUGUGUAGGCGGCGCGUUAAGUCUGUUGUUAAAUUUCCCGGCCUAACCGGGGUACAGCGACAGAUACUGGCGUGCUAGAGGAUGGGAGAGAGGAGUGGAAUUCUCGGAGUAGCGGUUAAAUGCGUAGAUCUCGAGAGGAACACCGAUGGCGAAGGCAGCUCCUUGGCCCAAUCCUGACGCUGAGGCACGAAAGCGUGGGUAGCAAACAGG
rnacentral:rRNA from 1 species